GUAAAAUAGAGAUAUUAAGUAAAUAAAAAGUAUAAGAAAUGGAAAUACAUAUACAGGAAAAUAAAUAAUAAGUGAAUAAUGUAAAUAUAUAAUAUAUAAAUCAUAUAUAUAAUAAUAAGUAAAUACACAAUUUUUUUAAAAAAUGGAAAAAGUUCAUUAAGCAUUAAACAUCUAUCUCAAAAUGUAAAAUAUAUAAUAUAAAAGUAAAUACACAAUUUAAAAAAAUGGAAAAAGUAUCUAUCUAAUAUAAAAUAUAGAUAUUACGUAAAUAAAAAAUAUAAGAAAUGGAAAUAAACAUUUAAAAAAAAUAGAAAAAGUAUAUUAAGAUUUAAACAUCUAUCUUAAAAUGUACAUUUAUCCUAAAAUGGUAAUAAAUUAUAUAAAAAUAGAAAUACCACAUUAAACAAAAAAAAAAUGUAUGGUUUUACAUAAAAAAAAGUCCCUAUAAAACUCAUUAUUCCAUCAACAUCAACCUCACACUAUCAAGGAAAACUUCAAAGCACUCGGGCAAAAAAAGGUUUCACCAUCAACUCUUGCCGUCCCAAAAACCUUUAAUGACCUUGAAUGAGAUUUUUUAUAAUAACAAACUUUUUGUUAGAUGGAUUCAUUGUUGGGAAAACCGCAACUUCCAAAAUCCAAACUUAUUCAUGGGAAUUGAAUUGCUUUUCAUAGAUUCAAAGGUAUUCUUACAAAUUUAAAUUAAUCUAAUCUAUAAUUUUAUUGUUAAUAUUCAUACUAACUUUUUCAUGAUCAAACCAUUACAGUUAAUAACCAUUCAAGCGUUUAUCUCGAACCACUUCUUUCCUCGCCG
rnacentral:lncRNA from 1 species